UGUUUGCCUAGUCGCUCUUAUUCGCCC
rnacentral:sRNA from 1 species